rnacentral:rRNA from 1 species
CACGUAGGGGGCGAGCGUUGUCCGGAAUUACUGGGCGUAAAGGGCGCGUAGGCGGCGAUUUAAGUCUGAUGUGAAACCCCUGGGCUUAACCUAGGGCUUGCAUUAGAAACUGAAUGGCUUGAGGGCAGGAGAGGAAAGCGGAAUUCCCAGUGUAGCGGUGAAAUGCGUAGAUAUUGGGAGGAACACCAGUGGCGAAGGCGGCUUUCUGGACUGAACCUGACGCUGAGGCGCGAAAGCCAGGGUAGCGAAC